AACCGGUGCCAAAAAAACCCUAGGAUCGAUCCCUCGUUCCCACAGCAGAUCGGUCUCCGCCGCCAACCAGACCUUCGCACGCCCGAUCCAGCCCUACGCCCCCCUCCGCCGCCGAUCCAUCCCUGUGCCGCGGCCGAUCCAUGCCCUAUGUCCCCGCCGCCGAUGCCUCCUCCUCCACCUCCAUUCCCAAGCGACGGCGCCUGCGGCCGCGGUCUUCUCCCCCAGCUACCAUGGCUGCAGAUCCACCCACGACUGGUCGUCUAAGCUGCAAGCAUGGAUGGAUGGAUCCAGGAAGGUAUCCUUCCUCCCUGGGUGGAGCGAGCUGCACAUCCCAUUCGGCCCUCUGGAGUCGGCCAUCUCCGCCUCCUCCUCGCCGCCGCCGCCGCCGGGGAUCGCAUCUUCACCAAGCGCGAGCUCCGUCACAUCCGACCGACCGCAAAGGGGUUGUCCAUUGUAAAUUUUCAAGGAGAUUCAAAUGUUCCUCUUCUGGCUGAUUGAAGGGAUACUUGAAGCUAGGGCAAUCCAAGUAAGAUAGCUUCAUCCUCAGGCAACAGGUUUAUGUUAUCUUAUCAUGGAGUCAUUUUUAAGUUUGUGCCCAACGCCUUCAUCCUAAGAAUGGCUGCCCAGAUGGAAAGCCACCGUAC